rnacentral:rRNA from 1 species
UCUAGUGGCGAACGGGUGAGUAACACGUGAGGAACCUGCCCCGAAGACCGGGAUAACAGCGGGAAACCGCUGCUAAUACCGGAUACCCCCGCCGGGUCGCAUGAUCUGGCGAGGAAAUGGAUUCCGCUUCGGGAGGGCCUCGCGGCCUAUCAGCUUGUUGGUGGGGUGACGGCCUACCAAGGCAUCGACGGGUAGCUGGUCUGAGAGGACGAUCAGCCACACUGGGACUGAGACACGGCCCAGACUCCUACGGGAGGCAGCAGUGGGGAAUCUUGCGCAAUGGGCGAAAGCCUGACGCAGCAACGCCGCGUGCGGGAUGAAGGCCUUCGGGUUGUAAACCGCUUUCAGCAGGGACGAUGAUGACGGUACCUGCAGAAGAAGCCCCGGCUAACUACGUGCCAGCAGCCGCGGUAAUACGUAGGGGGCGAGCGUUGUCCGGAUUUAUUGGGCGUAAAGAGCUCGUAGGCGGUUUGAUAAGUCGGGUGUGAAACCUCCAGGCUCAACCUGGAGCCGCCACUCGAUACUGUCAUGACUAGAGUCUGGUAGGGGACCACGGAAUUCCCGGUGUAGCGGUGAAAUGCGCAGAUAUCAGGAGGAACACCGGUGGCGAAGGCGGUGGUCUGGGCCAGAACUGACGCUGAGGAGCGAAAGCGUGGGGAGCGAACAGGAUUAGAUACCCUGGUAGUCCACGCCGUAAACGUUGGGCACUAGGUGUGGGGGGCCGUCAACGCCUUCCGUGCCGUAGCUAACGCAUUAAGUGCCCCGCCUGGGGAGUACGGCCGCAAGGCUAAAACUCAAAGGAAUUGACGGAAUCGA